UACAGAGGGUGCAAGCGUUAAUCGGAAUUACUGGGCGUAAAGCGAACGCAGGCGGUUGGUUAAGUCAGAUGUGAAAGCCCCGGGCUCAACCUGGGAAUUGCAUUUGAAACUGGCCAACUAGAGUACGUGAGAGGGGGGUAGAAUUCCAAGUGUAGCGGUGAAAUGCGUAGAGAUUUGGAGGAAUACCAGUGGCGAAGGCGGCCCCCUGGCACGAUACUGACGCUCAGGUGCGAAAGCGUGGGGAGCAAACAGG
rnacentral:rRNA from 1 species